rnacentral:rRNA from 1 species
CGGACGGGUGAGUAAUGUAUGGGGAUCUGCCUGAUGGAGGGGGAUAACUACUGGAAACGGUAGCUAAUACCGCAUAACGUCGCAAGACCAAAGAGGGGGACCUUAGGGCCUCUUGCCAUCGGAUGUGCCCAGAUGGGAUUAGCUAGUAGGUGGGGUAACGGCUCACCUAGGCGACGAUCCCUAGCUGGUCUGAGAGGAUGACCAGCCACACUGGAACUGAGACACGGUCCAG